AGAGUUUGAUCCUGGCUCAGGACGAACGCUGGCGGCGUGCCUAACACAUGCAAGUCGAACGGAGCACUUCGGUGCUUAGUGGCGAACGGGUGAGUAACGCGUGAGAAACCUGCCUCUCAGUGGGGGACAACAGUUGGAAACGACUGCUAAUACCGCAUAAUGUAUUCGGAGGGCAUCCUCUGGAUACCAAAGCUUUAUGUGCUGAGAGAUGGUCUCGCGUCUGAUUAGCUAGUUGGCGGGGUAACGGCCCACCAAGGCGACGAUCAGUAGCCGGUCUGAGAGGAUGAACGGCCACAUUGGGACUGAGAUACGGCCCAGACUCCUACGGGAGGCAGCAGUGGGGAACAUUGGGCAAUGGGGGAAACCCUGACCCAGCAACGCCGCGUGAAGGAAGAAGGCCCUCGGGUUGUAAACUUCUUUUACCAGGGACGAACAAAUGACGGUACCUGGAGAAAAAGCAACGGCUAACUACGUGCCAGCAGCCGCGGUAAUACGUAGGUUGCAAGCGUUGUCCGGAUUUACUGGGUGUAAAGGGCGUGUAGGCGGAGAUGCAAGUCAGGAGUGAAAUCCCGGGGCUCAACCCCGGAACUGCUUUCAAAACUGCAUCCCUUGAGUAUCGGAGAGGCAAGCGGAAUUCCUAGUGUAGCGGUGAAAUGCGUAGAUAUUAGGAGGAACACCAGUGGCGAAGGCGGCUUGCUGGACGACAACUGACGCUGAGGCGCGAAAGCGUGGGGAGCAAACAGGAUUAGAUACCCUGGUAGUCCACGCUGUAAACGAUGAAUACUAGGUGUGGGAGGACUGACCCUUUCCGUGCCGCAGUUAACACAAUAAGUAUUCCACCUGGGGAGUACGACCGCAAGGUUGAAACUCAAAGGAAUUGACGGGGGCCCGCACAAGCGGCGGAGCAUGCGGAUUAAUUCGAUGCAACGCGAAGAACCCUACCAAGGCUUGACAUGAACCGGAAAGGCCUGGAAACAGGUCCCCCACUUGUGGCCGGUUUACAGGUGGUGCAUGGUUGUCGUCAGCUCGUGUCGUGAGAUGUUGGGUUAAGUCCCGCAACGAGCGCAACCCUCGUUCUAUGUUGCCAGCGGGUUAUGCCGGGGACUCAUAGGAGACUGCCGGGGUCAACUCGGAGGAAGGUGGGGACGACGUCAAAUCAUCAUGCCCCUUAUGUCUUGGGCUUCACGCAUGCUACAAUGGCCGGUACAAAGGGUUGCGAUACUGUGAGGUGGAGCUAAUCCCAAAAAGCCGGUCUCAGUUCGGAUUGAGGUCUGCAACUCGACCUCAAGAAGUUGGAGUCGCUAGUAAUCGCAGAUCAGCAACGCUGCGGUGAAUACGUUCCCGGGCCUUGUACACACCACCCGUCAA
rnacentral:rRNA from 1 species